GACAGAGGUGCCAAGCGUUAGGCGGAAUCACUGGGCUUAAAGCGUGUGUAGGCGGAAUUGUAAGUACCUUGUGAAAUCCCACGGCUCAACCGUGGAACUGCUCGGUAUACUGCUUUUCUUGAGCCACUUAGGGGCUGUCGGAACAAACGGUGGAGCGGUGAAAUGCGUAGAUAUCGGGAGGAAUACCGAUGGCGAAGGCAGGUCUCUGGGCUAUAACUGACGCUCAUGCACGAAGCGUGGGAGCAA
rnacentral:rRNA from 1 species